GUGUUUUAAGAUAUUUCUUGAAAAAGAAAGGACAAAAAAUGGGAGGAUUUAUGCUGUAAAAAGAUAAUGCUCUACUGCAGCUAGUUAUGGUGGUAGUUCUAUAUCAACCAUAUAUGAGUGAGACUGUGUGAGAUUUGUGAGACACUAAGGAGGAGAAACCUUCGCAAAGAAGAUGUGAUCCGAAUGUGCUGGGACCAUUCCAUCAGACCACCCAUCAGACUUUCUUGUGGAGAGAGUUGGAAAUCAUGCACGCUUGUAGAUUACUGAGAACACUGAAGGCUCCUACGAAAACCUUAAAAUCGGUGCCAUCAAAGUCCUGCAAGAAAACCUAUAUCAAACGGUUGCCAUUUGUCACAGUUCCCCAUUUUAUUUUCUGGUUUACUACUGCCAUUAAUUAUCGAAAGUCCAAGCAUUUGAGGUCGAAUCGCAUGCUGCUGCUGGAAAAAAAGUAAAUCACGCCAUUAUGACACUGCAGCAUGGACUAUAGAGACCAUGGUAUAAUAAUCUUGUAUCUGAAAUAGAUCAAUUACAAGUAGAUUGUGUCUCAUGCAUAUAUCUUUAAUAAAAAAUUUGUGAAAAAAAAGGGAACAUAUUGAUUAUUUCAAAACUAGGAGGAAAAAUAAAGAAAUUCAAUUUUAUAGUU